UACGGAGGGUGCAAGCGUUAUCCGGAUUCACUGGGUUUAAAGGGUGCGUAGGUGGGAAUGUAAGUCAGCGGUGAAAUCUCCGUGCUUAACAUGGAAACUGCCAUUGAUACUAUGUUUCUUGAAUUUUCUGGAGGUCAGCGGAAUAUGUCAUGUAGCGGUGAAAUGCUUAGAUAUGACAUAGAACACCAAUUGCGAAGGCAGCUGACUACAGGGAUAUUGACACUGAGGCACGAAAGCGUGGGGAUCAAACAGG
rnacentral:rRNA from 1 species